rnacentral:rRNA from 1 species
AUGGCCUCUCUUGUGUUGCUCACUUCUUGGGUCAUUUCGAAUGAACGCAAUGCACGGAUUUUCCGUCACAAGUCUGCUCCAUCAUCGGUUUUGUUGUCCAAUAUCAAAAGGGAGGCGGCCCUAUGGGCCACCGUGGGAGCAAAAAAGUUGUGAUCAAUCAUGCCGGGAGAGUAA